GUACCUUGAUGAGAAGACCAUCUUCCACCUUAACCCAUCGGGUCGGUUCGUGAUUGGUGGCCCCCAUGGUGAUGCUGGUCUCACUGGAAGAAAGAUCAUCAUUGAUACCUACGGUGGCUGGGGUGCUCAUGGUGGUGGUGCCUUUUCAGGCAAGGACCCAACCAAGGUUGACAGAAGUGGUGCCUAUAUUGUGAGGCAGGCUGCAAAGAGCGUUGUGGCAAAUGGGUUUGCCAGAAGGUGCAUUGUCCAAGUUUCUUAUGCCAUCGGUGUCCCUGAGCCCUUGUCAGUCUUUGUUGACACCUAUGGAACCGGAAAGAUUCCUGAUAAGGAAAUUCUUCAGAUUGUGAAGGAGAAUUUCGACUUCAGACCUGGAAUGAUCACCAUUAACUUGGACCUCAAGAGGGGUGGCCACAGGUUCCUGAAGACAGCUGCUUAUGGACACUUCGGAAGGGAUGACCCUGACUUCACAUGGGAAGUGGUGAAGCCACUCAAGUCAGAGAAGCCUCGGGUCUAGGCUUAUGGUCAACUUAAUCCCUCCCUUCAAUAGAUGUCUUGCUAAGUAUUGAUGAAUAAUUUGCGUGUUUCAUUAGUACUACAAUCCUAGGUCUAAUGCCAUUUCCUUAUCAUACAAAAUUUGUUUUUUUACUUAACAUUUAUUUUUUUGUUCAUUCAAUAUUACUGUUUUGAUGCAAUUAAAUUUUAUCUGAAUCCCUAUUGAUUGUAAUUUGAAAGGGUGAAAAAGCCCUCUGCAACGUAUUUUAUAUUUCACAAAAUUGAAAUAUUCCCUCUCAAGCUGUCUCUCUCUACUUGGUUCUGAUUCGUCUCUCUUCCUCUCUCGGAUCUCUGCAUGUCUUCUCAAAUUAGAUAAAGGGUUUGAUUCUUCAGUUUGUGUUUCGGCUUUUGAUUUUUUUAUUUUAUUUGUCCGAUUUGAUUAUGGAAUUUGCCAAUGUUGUUCUAAAAUUGUAGUAAUCAGGAUUUGGAUGGUGUUUCAAUGAUAUUUGUUUGGAGCCGAAUAAUCUGGCAAGCAAAUUUAAAAAACUGAAUGAUAUUGCUUUCUGUUACAAUCGAAGUAAGAGCAAAAUAUGUAAAUGUUUUCUCUGAAGAAAAAAUUGAAAUUGCACAAGUAGAUCAAAUAUUUUCUUGACAUAUUUUUAUCCACACAUUAAGAACCCAAUCUUGUCCAUGUGCUUUGAUGCAUUUUGAAUUUAAUUAACGUUGCAUGUUUUUCAAACCCAAAUAAAUUAUUGGUUGUAAUAAAGUUUACAGUGUCCUUUCUCUAAAAAAACACAAUUAUUAUACCAUAACAAAAUCGUGACAAGUUGUGUGAUGAUAGCAUGUUGCACGUUACCACAUUUAUGGUAGAUCCAUCCAGAAUAUCAGAUCUGCACCUUUGCGUUGAAAAAUAGUAAGUUGGAAGCACUAACACACCUUAAACGCGGAAACAAAUCAGACUUCAAUAAUAAUAUAUUGAAAAGAUUAGAGAGGCAUGUGGCCCAAUUCUUUACCGAUGAAAGGAAUGUGUACAUAUCCUAAUUACCACUACUCAUACAUUCAUUCAGAUAAUACUCCUAAUUACGAUAAUUAUUCAAUAUUUCUUAUUAAUAGUUUGAGUCCAACUUUUAAAUAAGUGAUGACUUUUUCCGUAAUGGGCACACAAGUGAUGACUUUUUCCGUAAUGGGCACACUAAAUUCUAUCUCAUCUCAUACUCUUAAUUCUUUUAUUAUGUUUUUUUUAACUUAAACAUAAAAAAUGUAUUUAGUUAGAGACUGAUUGAAAGUUUGUUUAUCAAAGAAUAUCUUGGCAUUGUUGAAUUAUAUUUUUCUGUUUUAUUUUUAUAAAUGAAGAUUAAUGAUUGUGAUAUGAAGCUCGAACACUUCUCUUAAAUAGCGUAUCGGUGUCAGAUAUUCGUAUUGACACCGAAAUUCAUAUGAUACUUUUAAGACACGUAUCCGUGAAAUGUCUAAUUCAAAAAGUAUUUAUUGAAUUUUUAACAAUUCUAAUACGAUUUUAACACAAUUUUAAAAAGAAAAAAUACAUUAAUUUUUGAAAGACUCAAACUUAUUGUAUAAUUUUUUAUUAUAAUUAUAAAAAUAAGAAAUAAAUUAUUUUGAACCAAUAAUGAAAAAUAUCUUUUUAUUUUAAAAUAUAAUUUGAAAUAUACUUGUGUACAUAAAUCUUUAUUUUCAAUUUAUAUAAUUAAUAAUUAUAUAAUAUAUAGAUUUAUGUCUUUAUGUCUUACAUUUUAGAAAUUAUAUGUAUCUCCAUGUUCCAAUCGUAUUUAUGUUACAUAGAUCGUGAUUAUGCGUGAUUAAUAAAGUGUUUCUAUGCUACAUACAUCGUGAUUACGCGUGAUUAAUAAAAAAACAUGGCCUUGGUUUUGUUCUGUUUGAUACAGAGAAAUGGUGACACAGUGAGAUGGUGAUACUUUUUAGAUGAUAAAUUAGGCUAUUCUUAAAUGUAAGAAAUCAUGAACCACACACUUGACUAUUUUUGACCUAGACAAGGCUCAUGGGUCGCGGAGUUCAUUCUUGUUGGUUGGUCACCACACCAACCACCUUUCAAAUAAUUAACAACCACAUAGGAUUAUGUUUUUUCCAGUGUCGAUUAAUUAAUAAUAUCUCUUAUCACCCCCACUGUAAACAAUAACUACAACUUUAGUCAACACUUCAAAUUGAUUAAGUUAAUUAAGAUGAUUUUAAAGCUUUCUCAUUUUUUCUUCUUCUUCGAAAAGUGACUAAAUACCAAAAAUUGUUAUGUAUGCUUUCUUACCCAACUUUCAUCUAUAUAUGUGUGGGUUUACGUUUUAGAUAUUUUAUUUUGAGGUUUUCUACUACCAAAAUUUAUAACAGUCAAAUUUUAUUAUUUUCAUAAAUAUGAGACUGAAAAAAUAUGUUUGUCUUUUAUUUACUUUAUAAGAAAAUAACAUUUUCCAGCAAACACUGUUUUUGGGAAAUUAAUUUUAGUCAUGAUUUCUGUUAAAAAAUCCCGUGCUGCAAUGGAGGUGGAAAACUAAAUUUUUAUUUAAAAUAAAUAUUUUCCUACCAAAAAUACUAUGCUAUUUUUAUUGAAUCAUUUAAUGAGGUAAAUUACAUAUUUUAUAAAUUACAUAUAAUUUCAUAAACGUCAAAAUUAUUUAGAAAAAUACAGUUUUAAAGCAUCAUUUCGUCUUUUUAAACUUGUUAUAGGUAUUUUGUCUUUUUAAAUUCCUUAUGUCUGGAGCUAGUGUGUUGUCUAGACCGAAUGAUCGAAAGUUGAAAGGUCGGUAACGAGAUGAAAAAUUAAACAAAAAUGAAUAAAUAAUCAAAUAAUAAAAUAUUGUGGCAAAACCCAUCAAAUAGGUUCAAAUAUGUACAAUAUGUUUAAUAAAUGUAAGGUAUGAAGAGUAAAAAUUCAAUUGGGUCCAAAGUCAAUAAGUGAGUACUAUAAAUAGGUGAUCAACUCAAUAGGUAAGUAAAGUGAAUUUUAUCGGGUAAUUAAGCAAAAUCGAUCUUGACUUUAUUUAUCGGAACCCCUUGCAUACGUUCGAGAGCUAAUUUUGAGCCCACAAGAGUUCAAGUCAAUCCAGUACAACAAGUGAGAAUCUAUAACCUACAUCUAAAUUCAAGCCUAAAUCAACGAAUAAUGUAGUCGAAAGUCCAAACCCAAACCAGUAACUAGUGUAGUCGAAAGCACAAAUCCGAAUCAGGAGACCAUAUGAAGCCGAGAAGUCUUGGGAAAAAAAAAAUUUCUUCUAGGCCUUGUAAGAGCAUUUAGGAAUAUGGUAUUUUUUUAAAAAAAAUACCAUGUGUUAUUUUUAUUGAACCACUUAAUGUGAUAAAAAGAAAAAGAGUUAUGAAAUAGCCUAAAGUGAUUCUAGUGCUGCUUUCCUACCCAACUGGUGAUAAUAUUCCAUUCAUUUAGUGAAUAGAAUUUUGGUAUUUUGGCAUCCAGUUAGAAUAUGACUCCUCAGACUCCAUUCCUAUUAAGCCAUCAUCUUACCAAUCACCUAUCAAUAACUAUUCACCAUUCACAAUUUGUUAGAAUUUUAAAGAUAAUAGUAUUUUAUAAUAUAUAAAUUAAAUACAUAUUUAUUUAUAAGGUAAUUUUAUAAAAUUAAAUUAAAUUUAAAGUUAUUUUUUAAUACAAAUUAAAAUAAAACAUUGGUAAUAGUUUUAGAGAGUUGGUGAAAAAGAUAAUUAUUUAAAAAAUUAAAAUUGUGAAUAAAAUAAGUUUUUUUUCAUUAAUGUAAAAUUUCAAAAAUAUUAAAUACGUUCCUAAAAAGAAUUUACAUCAUUCUCGUUCCUUUAAAUUCCAAACAAAUUUUUAAUAUCCUCUAAAAUUCGAACAUGUUUUUUAAAUAUUUAUUAAUAACAAUCAUAUAAAAAAUAUAUGUAAAUGACUAUCUUAGCCUGAUAUUAUUAUUAAAAAAUAAUUAUAAUAUCCAUAUAUUAAAAAAAUCAUUAACAUCGAUUUUUCAUUUAUCGUUAUCGUUAAUUAUGAUUUAAGAAAAAAUAAAGAAAAUAAUAUAUUUUUUUCAAUGAUGUAUUUAAUAUAUUAAAAUUUUCAUGGACAUGUAGAUAGUAAUUUAUCGUAAAAUUAUUUAAUUAAUAUUUUAAUAUUUGUACUUUUUCUUUUAUCAAAAUAAAAAUUGAAAACAACAUCGUUAGAAUUGAGGAGGGAAUUUGGACGAAGAGGAAUGAGUGAAUUUGUGAGAAUUAAAGAGGAUGUGUAAGGUUAUUUAGAUUGAGAGAUGAUAAAGUCAAAUUGUAAGGACAAUUUAUUGAAAUUUGAGAAUGAGAGGAAAUUUAAAAAUUAUUUUAAAAGUAUAAAAUGUAAGUUUAUAAAUUUAUCUUUAUUUUUAAAAAAUAUUUGAAUAAUAAGUAUGAUUUUUUUUUUAAUGUUUGAGUUAUGAUACAUUUUAUUUUUUAUUAUUUACUUGGAAAAUUUAUUUUCUCUCAAGUCAAACACUCUUCCGAUCUCAAAAGAGAGAGAGACAAAUAUCUUUGAUGUGUUUUGAAUAAAUAAAAUUGAUUUUUUUAUAUUUUAAUAAAGUAACAUACACAUAUUUCAUUUUAUUUAAAAUUUUAAUAUUCACAAAACUUAAUGAAAGAAAUUAAAGUGUUUUAUAAAAAAUUAAAUAGUUUAAUAAAGUGAGAUACAAGUUUUGUUUUAUAAGGAAUAUGUUUUAAAGACUAAUUUUAUUUGAGAUAUUGCAGUUAUUGCUGAUCUCGUGAGUUUUCACUUACAUUAAAAAUUGAACAAAAAAAAUCAGUUAAAAAUUGAAAAAUUGAAUACAAAAUCUCAGUUAAGUAUAUGGUUUAAAACAAUAUAAAAAAAUAAUUUACAACAUAAAUAAUAUUUAAUAUAAAAAAAAUAAACAUAAAAACAGUAAACCCUAGACCCUACAUCAAAAUAAAUACAUAAAACAAUGUAUAUUUUUAAAAAAAACAUCACAUGAUUCUAUCAAAACUUACAUCUAUAAACAAUUUUUUUUUUCAUAUCAAACAGUAAACAUAAAACAAAAAAACUAUAAAAAUUAAUGAACUUAACUGUGAAGACUAGUGUCAAACAGUGAAGAAAAACACCACCACCUCAAUCACAGAACGAGAUCCAACUUGAAACAAGAUAAAAAAAUAAUUACAAUUUUUUCAAACUAAAAAAAGAAAAACAAGACAGCUGUAUACAUUUAAAAGGAAUUCAAUAUCGAGGGAAAUACUUAUAUCCUACUUCUCACCCGGAAACAACUCUCAAAAGAUCUCUACUUCUCACCAUACCAACACUCAAAUGAAUGAAAGCACAACAUGUUCACGGGCUGAAAAAAUUCAAGUCAAAAGAUUCCUCAGUGUAUGGUGCAGUGUGUGUUGCAUUCUUUCGUGCAUGUGUUGCGUUCUUUCGUGCAUUGAUUUCUCACAGUGGUGUCAGUCAUGAGACCAAUUUUAUUUCAUGCAUUCACAGUUGCAAAGUUAUGUUAAGGGUAUUAAGGUAAAAUACUUAUAUCCUACAUGGACAUCUGUGAUCAUCUCUGCAUAUAUAAGAGAAAAGCAGAAUGCAUCUAACUCGCCCGUCUGCACCCUCACCUUCAAACACAACAUCCUUCCACUCGUUCAUUCGCACUGCAACUCCAUCAACUGAUCCAAACACAGUGUUAAUGGAAUAGUUUUUAUACAGUUAAUUUUACCUUAUUAGAUAAGAUAAAUAUAAGUGUGAUGUCACUUAUAUAUUAAUCAUGAGUAUAUUUUAUAAUGGUAUUUAAAAGUGCUAGUUAAAUAAAAUGAUAUUUACAUUAUUUAUGUAUUAUGAGUGGGAUAUAUUUCUAAUGAAAGUAAAAUUUUCUCUAAAAUCAUAAUUAAACACAUUUUCUUAUUUUUUUAAUAAGAAUUGACUUCUACAAAAGAAAAGAAAAAUUAAAUGUGAAAAAUGAUUUCAUUUUCUUAAAUAUUUAUGAUAUACACACAUAGUAUUUUAAAUAUCAUUUUUAAUAUUAAUUUAGUAAAUGAAAUAUUGAUAUUCUUUUCGUUCCUAAUAAUUUUUUAAAAAAUCUUGAAAACUCCUCUUUCAUUUUCUCUUGUAUCAUUUUUUUCUUUUUUACUACUCUAAAAGGCUAUAAUGCUUUUCUUGUUUUUCUUAAGAAGAUUAAAAAAUUAAAGUGUUUAUUUUAUAAAAAUGUAAUAUUCUUAAUUGUGUUUUCUACAAAUUUUUCUGUUAAUAAACAAAUAAAUGCCAUGUCAAACAUGUAGUCAAAAUAAAAAAUCUAACAUAAAAUGAAACAAAACAAAACAUACAAAAACCACACCAAACAUACAUUAAUACUAUUAUUUGAUGGGAUUACUAAUAUUUUUAAAUUAAAAUUUACACUACAAAGAAUAAUGAUUUUAAUACAGGUAAAAAAUAAUCAUAAAUAAAAAAGUGGACAUUAAAACGUGAUUAACGUUUACCUUUCAUUCAUUAAAAAGUUUACAUUUUAUACGUGAAAGCUAUUAAAUCUUCUAUAUCGGUAUAUGUAGGAGACGUAUCGUGAUCAAAUAGAGACAAAUUAUACGAUUAAUAUUUAAUAAUUUAUUAUUUUAUGUACAAAUAGUUAGUCACAAUUAUUCUCUCAUAGAUAUAAAAUAUUUUACUUAUAACACUUCAUAAUUUAUUUAUUUUAUGUUACUUUUUUUUUCACUUCUAUGUACACGGAUAAGGAAAGUUAUUAAUAUUAAUAAAAGGAAAAGCUCAAUUUCUUAUUCCCUUAUGAAAAAAAAUAAAUCCAAAUGACAAGUAGAAAUUCAAAUGAAAAUUAUUCUAGAUCCCAGAAUACAGAAGUAAACAUUUUUUAUGUAACCAUUUAAUUUAUUUGUAAGAAAUAUUUUUUUAUCAGCAUUUGCAAGAAAUUUUCAAAUUCUGAUUCCAUUAAACACAUGAGAAAAAUCGGAAUGCAAAAUAGAAAUUUAUUAAAUACACCCACUAAUUAAAUUAAAUGACCAUUUAGACUAUUACUAUUAUCAUUAAAAUAAAAUAGGUACACACUCAUGAAAAAUAGAUCAUAUAUUCCAAAAUAUAGAAACUACUGUUUGUAUAUAUUAAUACAGUUAUUGAUAUUUUACGUGAUUAUUUUAUAUUAUUAAAGGAUUUCAUAAUGAAAAAAAUACUGUACUGUCAUUAAUUAAAGAAAAUACAUUCCAAUUAUAUCGUUUAAUUAAAUAAAAUAAUAUAAUUAUUUAAAAUAUUUGUAAUACAUUUACAAUUUUAACCUUUGCAGCAAAUACUACAUUAUAUAAUUUAAAAAAAUAUUGUAAUUACAGAAAAUUUAACAUUAUUAAUUAAACAAAUAAAUACUUUUUUAAUAAAUAUAAAUUAAUCAAUAAGAUCUCACGUAUAAGCAGAAAAGAUAAUAUUCUCUAUAAACUCAAAUGUAAAAAAAGAUAAUAUUUAAACUUUUUAAUACUAGUAUUCCUAAAGUAUCUUUUUAUUUAGUUUUAAAUAUUAUUUUCAAUAAAUAUAAAUAAAUAAAUAUAUUUAUUAUAUUAAAUAAAAACUACAUGUUUUAUCCAUAUGAAAAAGAGAAUAAUUUUGCUUACAGUUAGAUGCAAAAACAAUAUUUUAAAUUAAAGAGUAUUUUAAAUUUUAGCAACGAUGACGGUGGGAUCUACCUUUAUCGUACGGAGCUACCGACACCGACACGUUUUCGGUAAGGUUGGUGAGUCACCGGCGGUACCCGGUAAUGGACGAGCUCUCGCUGUAGCAAAUCGCAAUCUCACCGACCCCUUUGAUUUGGGUGUGAAAUCUAACGGCACAACGCCGGUUCCGGUGUCUAGUCAUAUGAGUGACCAUUGAUCACUAUAAAUAGCGAGACAACGUUCUUUCUCUUACCCUCACAACACUAAACCAGUCACUUGCUGUUUGGUUCUGCACUGUGGUGACUCUGGUUUGCUUCCACUCACUGAAUUUCUUUCUUCAGAACCCAUUCUUUCAUUCUUUGGAGGUUCGUUCUUCACGCUUCUUCUCUUCUCAUACGUUUUUUUUUCUUCUAUAAACCCUGUUUUGCUUACCAUCAUAAUUUAUAUAUCUUCCAUUUCCGGAACUGUAAGUAAUGUUUUAUUCCCAAUGUCUUGUCCUUAACUAGACCCUUACGGUUAUGGAUCUGAAUUUUCUUUAUAUUAUUUUCCUUUUCUUCUAUGCUUUUCACUAUUGUAGUUUGAUUAUUUGAAAUGGUAUGGUAUUUCUGUUGCAUUUUGAUCUUUUGUUGUAUAGAUCUGAUGCUUUAACGGGAAUAAUCUGUUCUAACUUAUUCUGUCCGGGUCUAGUUUAUGUGCCUCGUGUGAUACUGUUCAUUUAGUUUUUUCUUUGUUGAACCCUUUAGCGUUCUAAUUUUGUAAUUGAAACUAAUGUUUGAGGUAUAUGCUGUGCUUUAAUGUUUCUUGAAAGGACAAAAGUUAUGUGUAGAUCUUUUGCGCUGUUAUUGGAGUUUCGCUAAUUUAUGAAAUAAAGGGUAAUGGUGAACAUAGAUUACUAAAAUUAAAUUCAAAUUCAGAUUGAAGAACAACGCUAGUAAGUGCAUCUAAAUUUUCUUCUUUCAGAAAUUCAAGAUUCGUUCCAACUUGGUGCCCGGGAAUAUUCGUAUAUACUUUCUUAUCGUUUUGUCUGCAAUUAGUUUUUUAGGACCAUAAGUUUUUUCUGAAAGUAGAUCAGGAUGAACUAUUUUAAUCCAACUUGGCAUAAACUUUGAUGAUUUUCUAUCAAUUUGUUGUAGGGAUUUAUGCUUUAAUUAUUUUAGUUGGAAUAUGAUCUCGAAUCUCAGCUUCCAUUAUAGCACCAACUGAAGUAUUUUUGCUUAAGCAUUUGUACUUUGUAAAACUAAACGUUGUGUUUUCUGCAGCUUGAUAAAUGGCAUCUGAAACCUUUCUAUUCACAUCUGAGUCUGUGAACGAGGGUCACCCAGACAAGCUGUGCGACCAGAUCUCUGAUGCAGUGCUCGACGCGUGCCUUGCACAAGACCCUGACAGCAAGGUUGCCUGCGAAACAUGCACCAAGACAAACAUGGUGAUGGUCUUUGGAGAGAUCACAACCAAGGCCGAAGUAGACUACGAGAAGAUUGUCCGUGAGACAUGCCGCAGCAUUGGAUUCAUCUCUGAUGAUGUUGGUCUUGAUGCUGACAAGUGCAAGGUGUUGGUCAACAUUGAGCAGCAGAGCCCUGAUAUCGCCCAGGGUGUGCACGGCCACUUCACCAAGCGCCCGGAGGAGGUUGGUGCUGGUGACCAGGGUCACAUGUUUGGCUAUGCCACUGACGAAACCCCUGAAUACAUGCCGCUCAGCCAUGUCCUUGCAACCAAACUUGGUGCUCGCCUUACCGAGGUUAGGAAAGAUGGUACCUGCGCUUGGUUGAGGCCAGAUGGUAAAACACAAGUAACUGUUGAGUACAACAAUGACAACGGUGCCAUGGUUCCAAUCCGUGUUCACACUGUUCUAAUUUCCACCCAACAUGAUGAGACUGUGAGCAAUGACCAAAUUGCUGCUGACCUUAAAGAGCAUGUUAUCAAGCCUGUCAUUCCCGAGAAGUACCUUGAUGAGAAGACCAUCUUCCACCUUAACCCAUCGGGUCGGUUCGUGAUUGGUGGCCCCCAUGGUGAUGCUGGUCUCACUGGAAGAAAGAUCAUCAUUGAUACCUACGGUGGCUGGGGUGCUCAUGGUGGUGGUGCCUUUUCAGGCAAGGAC
rnacentral:lncRNA from 1 species